rnacentral:rRNA from 1 species
AUUGAACGCUGGCGGUAUGCUUAACACAUGCAAGUCGAACGGUAGCAGGCCUUCGGGCGCUGACGAGUGGCGGACGGGUGAGUAACGCGUAGGAAUCUGCCUCAUAGUGGGGGACAACGUGGGGAAACUCACGCUAAUACCGCAUACGCCCUACGGGGGAAAGCGGGGGAUCUUCGGACCUCGCGCUAUGAGAUGAGCCUGCGUUAGAUUAGCUAGUUGGUAGGGUAAAGGCCUACCAAGGAGACGAUCUAUAGCUGGUCUGAGAGGACGAUCAGCCACACUGGGACUGAGACACGGCCCAGACUCCUACGGGAGGCAGCAGUGGGGAAUACUGGACAAUGGGCGCAAGCCUGAUCCAGCAAUACCGCGUGUGUGAAGAAGGCCCUAGGGUUGUAAAGCACUUUCAAUAGGGAGGAAAACCUGCCGGUCAAUACCCGGUAGCUUGACAUUACCUAUAGAAGAAGCACCGGCUAACUCCGUGCCAGCCGCCGCCGUAAUAC